rnacentral:rRNA from 1 species
CAGUCGCCGCGGUAAUACGAAGGGUGCAAGCGUUAAUCGGAAUUACUGGGCGUAAAGCGUGCGCAGGCGGUUUGUUAAGACAGAUGUGAAAUCCCCGGGCUCAACCUGGGAACUGCAUUUGUGACUGGCAAGCUAGAGUGUGGCAGAGGGGGGUGGAAUUCCGCGUGUAGCAGUGAAAUGCGCAGAUAUGCGGAGGAACACCGAUGGCGAAGGCAGCCCCCUGGGCCAACACUGACGCUCAUGCACGAAAGCGUGGGGAGCAAACAGGAUUAGAUACCCGAGUAGUCCCUGUCUCUUAUCC